rnacentral:misc_RNA from 1 species
UUAGUCUCUUAGAAACAAACUUCAAACAUCCUAAAUAGUGUUUCUAUGACCCUAAACAUUGACAGCUAUCUCAAUACUUUCUUGCCACCAAUAACUUGAUCUGAAACUGAAAUCAUUAUCACUGGACUUGAUCAGUUGAUUUCAACCCACAAUAAAAAUAUGAUAGAGUUGCAGUGUGCUAGAUUUCAUAAAGUUCAGUAACCUAGCUUAACUACUUCCAAGUGCUAGAAAGUAGCUAGAAGAUAAUAGGGAAACCCAAUUAAUAAACCACGGUGGAAGAUGAAAUUCUGAUUGGGGAAUAUUAUAACAGGAGGUUCCAUAUAGAUCAGUUAUUGUGCCGUAUACAAUACAAAGCCCUUCGAGCUGAGAGAUUACAGUUCUUAGGCAUGAAUAUCAGCUAAAGAAAGCCACUGAAUGUAAACAGGGGCAGGUCUGGGAAUCAUGAUGGAAACCCAG